UAUGUUUUUCUCAAAGUUGCUUGAAUUAACAUAUAUUCGAUUUUUUGAAAUAGUGUCGUAUCGAAAACUUGUUACAAUAUUUGCAAAUUUUGCUGCGUGCUUUAUAAUUACUGCGUCUGAAGCACUUGAACCUAAAACAAUUGAUGACAAAUAAUCCGGGCAGAGUUUUGAAUGCAACAGACAAACAGAAUCCCCGCUGAGCAUAUUUAAAUGCUACAAACAUUUGACAGACAUUAUCUACUCCUAUCUAAAUAAGUAAAUGUAAAUAGAUUUUUGUGAAUUCAGGUCUUCCAUGACGGUCCAGCGUGAUUAUGUUUUCAACCGCAGUUAAGAAUGAAACCGAUAUUUAUGCAACGUUAGUUUUAAAUCUGAAUAGAAAUUAUCGCGUAGGAUAUGUUUGGGUAUGACUUAAGGCCAUCAAAAGCUCGUCAAGAAGAGAGAGAAGGAAAUUUUGCAAUUAACCCAUGAAUAGUUUAUUAUUUAUUUCAUAUAACUAUUUCUAUAUUGUGUACUUGACGUGUGUGUUCAUU